rnacentral:lncRNA from 1 species
AAAGGUCCAGCAAAUAACACAAAGCAGAGAGUUAGAAAACAUAAUCGCAUAUCAUACGAGCAUAAGAAAGGUCUUGCACUUUCGAACUACAUCAUACAUAUUCUAACUCACGCCAAAACAUCGCACUAAACGAUUAUCAACUAAUAAGGUUCAACACCAUUCAACCAAAUAAUGUCACUUACCAUUUAUCAAAUAUAUGCGCAUUUA